rnacentral:rRNA from 1 species
AUUGAACGCUGGCGGCAGGCCUAACACAUGCAAGUCGAACGGUAGCACAGAGAGCUUGCUCUCGGGUGACGAGUGGCGGACGGGUGAGUAAUGUCUGGGAAACUGCCCGAUGGAGGGGGAUAACUACUGGGAACGGUAGCUAAUACCGCAUAACGUCGCAAGACCAAAGUGGGGGACCUUCGGGCCUCACACCAUCGGAUGUCCCCAGAUGGGAUUAGCUAGUAGGUGGGGUAAUGGCUCACCUAGGCGACGAUCCCUAGCUGGUCUGAGAGGAUGACCAGACACACUGGAACUGAGACACGGUCCAGACUCCUACGGGAGGCAGCAGUGGGGAAUAUUGCACAAUGGGCGCAAGCCUGAUGCAGCCAUGCCGCGUGUAUGAAGAAGGCCUUCGGGUUGUAAAGUACUUUCAGCGGGGAGGAAGGCGGUGAAGUUAAUAACUUCACCGAUUGACGUUAUCCGCAGAAGAAGCACCGGCUAACUCCGUGCCAGCCGCCGCGGUAA